UUUCGAUAGCGUAAAAGUUAACUCAAAUUUGAAUCGAGUUGGGACGUUUGCCUACGUGUGCCGCUAAGGGCGCUGUUCCAACUGCAUACAUAUUUCAGUUAACUUUUACGUUAUCGA
rnacentral:pre_miRNA from 9 species